AGAGUUUGAUCCUGGCUCAGGACGAACGCUGGCGGCGUGCCUAAUACAUGCAAGUAGAACGCUGAAGAGAGGAGCUUGCUCUUCUUGGAUGAGUUGCGAACGGGUGAGUAACGCGUAGGUAACCUGCCUGGUAGCGGGGGAUAACUAUUGGAAACGAUAGCUAAUACCGCAUAACAGUAGAUGUUGCAUGACAUUUGCUUAAAAGGUGCAAUUGCAUCACUACCAGAUGGACCUGCGUUGUAUUAGCUAGUUGGUGAGGUAACGGCUCACCAAGGCGACGAUACAUAGCCGACCUGAGAGGGUGAUCGGCCACACUGGGACUGAGACACGGCCCAGACUCCUACGGGAGGCAGCAGUAGGGAAUCUUCGGCAAUGGGGGGAACCCUGACCGAGCAACGCCGCGUGAGUGAAGAAGGUUUUCGGAUCGUAAAGCUCUGUUGUAAGAGAAGAACGAGUGUGAGAGUGGAAAGUUCACACUGUGACGGUAUCUUACCAGAAAGGGACGGCUAACUACGUGCCAGCAGCCGCGGUAAUACGUAGGUCCCGAGCGUUGUCCGGAUUUAUUGGGCGUAAAGCGAGCGCAGGCGGUUAGAUAAGUCUGAAGUUAAAGGCUGUGGCUUAACCAUAGUACGCUUUGGAAACUGUUUAACUUGAGUGCAGAAGGGGAGAGUGGAAUUCCAUGUGUAGCGGUGAAAUGCGUAGAUAUAUGGAGGAACACCGGUGGCGAAAGCGGCUCUCUGGUCUGUAACUGACGCUGAGGCUCGAAAGCGUGGGGAGCAAACAGGAUUAGAUACCCUGGUAGUCCACGCCGUAAACGAUGAGUGCUAGGUGUUAGACCCUUUCCGGGGUUUAGUGCCGCAGCUAACGCAUUAAGCACUCCGCCUGGGGAGUACGACCGCAAGGUUGAAACU
rnacentral:rRNA from 1 species